GGGCAGAGCCGCCGCCAUGACGGCGCGGCGCGGGGCGGGGCCGCAGGGCGUGCCUGCUUUAUGCUGGCAGGACCUUUGCGUGACCCAGCGUUAAGUGGAGGUACAAAUUAGGUCUUCGUUGCGGUGUUGCUGUUUAGCCGCGAGGUACUAAGCCGUGCGGUGUUGAGAAGUUACGAGAGGGUUUGUACGUACCUAGACAGAUUAUUAAACUAGAGAAGACCAGACUGAAACUUAUGUAGAAGAAAAACAGCCCAUCGUAUGAGCUUUUCCUUCUCAUGAGAUAAAGGAAAAGAAGGGAGUUCUCAUCCUAACCAGAAGAGGAGGUGUCUGCUUUCUCUGCCGUCUUUUUGUUCCCUUAAUGAAAACAGCAAGCAGUAGUUACACAACUUCCCAUAUUUUUUUGAUAUUUAAAAACUCUGUCUUUUCUGCUUCCCUUUGGUAAGUUUCUGAGAGUUUGUAGGUGUUUGUUCUCUCAGCAUCUGGAUGGAGUUAGCUUCCAACCAAAAAACAACUGUAAGACCUUGCUCACCAAAAUUCCCUGUGGGACCUUUAAACAAGAAUUCCAAACUGCAAACUAUCCUUUUCUUAUCAAGAGAACUUCAGCUAGUAAGAGUGACUGAUAAACAUAGUCAGUCAGCUGAUAAUGAUACCUGCUACAGAAAGGCGGAAGCCUAUGAUUUAUAGAGUGAAUUUUAAAUAUCAUUAUGGGAACAUUCAGCUAUAUGUUGUUCUUGUAAGCUCCUUUUCUCUCACUAUAAUGAAUUUGCCCUUUUGAAUUUUUAAAUCAGUAGUCUUACAAAAUGCUUUUGUAAAAAGUUUUUAUCUCUCUUGAGAAUAAUAAUGCUCCUUAGGAACGUGUCUAACACAAGAUAUGUCACUUGUAUAUGGCUUAUAAAGCUUUUUCAAGGAAACUUAAUUUCAUAGUUAGCCUGAGAUGCAACAGUGUUUAUCAUUAACUGGAAAGAAUCUUUAUUCUAAUCAAUGAUUUGAGCCUAGAUGUUUCUGUAAAUUUAAAUAGUUCAUAAAUUAUUGUGGUUUUUCCUUGCUAAUUUCUAGAACCUGAUUUACCACCAUACAAAUGCAGUGAAUCCUAAAGCACAAGUUCAAUAUUCAAUACAUUUUUACUGUAAAAUUGUAGUUCCUGAUACAAUGAGAAAGUCUAUUUUUCCCCUGUCAAGUUAUGAAUUAAUGGUAUGGUUACAGCCUAACGUACACAGACUCAAAGAGAAAAUUACCUCCCACUGAAGAAGAACACUUCUUCUGCCUGGUGAUAUUUCUGUAGUUGCAUUAUAUGAUAUUCUUGGCUUGUUCAUGAGCUCUGGUAAACAUGGGAAAAGAUAGAGACAUGCACUCAUAGAAAUCAGGUUGAUCUUAAUGUUUUCAACAGUAUUUGACAAUGUUCAUACAUUAUAAAAUUGGAAAAGGGUUUUACUCUCAUGCUUAUUCCCAUGAAAUUAACUUACUGUGAGGAACCAAAAUCUCUCUACUCCAAAUGCAAACACAGUGAAGACUAUCCUUGGUUAUACAUCUGAGCUGAAUGAUAUAUGAAGAUGUAGCAUUUGAAACAGUGAUGUUGACAGCAUUGCUUUCUAUGGGCACCUAAAAGCAAAUGAUAUUUAAUAUAUGUGGCAGCAAUAAGACAAUCUUAUAUUAACUGUUUUCUUAAUCAAAAAACAUUAUUCUAACUAAAAGUAGCAGUUUCCAUCAUCAGUGAAGAAUUUCUACAUAUAUUAGCAAAUUUUAUUUCAUACUUGAAAGAUGAUGCUCCCUUUUUCAAGUAAUUAUGUUCUUUCAGGAUAUAUAAGCAGUAAUGCAGGUCUAACCCCUUUUUAAAAAUGGAUUCAACACAUUGGAAAAUUAUCACUUAUUCAAUUUUGAUCUUUGCUGGCAUUCUGAAGAAAAAUAUCACAGCAACCAGGUCUCUAACGAUACUAGUAAAGAAAAUAAUACAGUAUAGUCCUUUAAUUAAUGAAGUUAAUUAAUAAAUAAUUUAAAAAGUAAUAUAAGUAUAGUCCUUUAAUUAAAGUGUAAUCAGAUCUUGGGAUUGUACCUCAUUUCUGAUACCCUCUCUGGAUCUUCAGCUUUUCCUUGGUUGAUUGUUGUGUCUUAUUGGCAAGUUAAUGAGCCAUAUGACAGUGUUCUUGUUUUUUUUCAGCAUAAAACUAUUUUUUCUCUUUCAAACAGUUCAGAAUCUGUCAGCACGAAACUAAGAGACCAUUGUGAGAUUUGCCAACAAAUCAUGUGCUGUGUUUUCUUGCUAUUCCCAUUUUUGUGCGCUACAAUAAUGUCCUGUUUACAUCCUGCCAUGUAUCUGUAUGUACUACUGAGCUGAUAAUAAACCCCUUCGUGUUCUGAAGAGGCAUCUGGGAAUACUUACCCUUGUCCACUGAGGGGUUUUUGUGAGUGCCUCUCUGUAUCUCAACUCAUACUCUGUAGGAGUUGCAGGCACAUUCCAUUUUAUUACCAAUUGCUUUGUGAUCUGAUGGGCAUUUAUGUUAGAUGGUGUCAAACACUUCCCUAAAAUGGGGAACAGAUGCCAUCAGUACAAGAGAAGCAGGAAAGCUUUGGACAUUAUAUGUCAAUUGGGUGUGUUUUACCAAAAAUGGAAGUCUUGGCUGAGAAUACUGAACACUAUGAGACUUAAAAAACCUGGAAAUAAACAUUUACUAAAUCCUUAUAGUAUCAACAAAUCAGGGUUGUUCCUCUUUUGUGUAUGCAAUUCUUUUGUGAAUGCUUCUUCUGAUAUCAGGAAAAUCCUUUUUCUAAACAGAUGCUGAGUGAGUCUGAAAGGCAAAAUCAAAAUGUCAAGAGUACCUCUAAUCGUGAGCUGUAGAAGUUUCCAGAACUUCUUAAUGGCUUCCAAUUUCAGCAACUGUGUUUAGCUCUAUAAUUUUUAAUGCAAAUACGUAGUUUUCCCUGUGAAAAUCUCCCAAGGAGGACAUAGCGAUAAUUUGGGUUUUACUGAUAGUGCCUUUCAGCAAUGAGAAGCACUUGUGAAACAUAGUUACUCUGGGAAGGUGAGGAUUUCAGAUGAUCUUGAAGCAUCAUCACUUAACUCAGAGAUGAUGCUUUAGAGAAUCUGUGAGUAGGCAUCUGAAGUGCAUAGUUCAUGUGAUUUAUUUUUUUCACAUGCCCCCUCUAGUACUGUGUAAUAGGUAAGUGGCCUUAGAAAAUGGUUGAAAUUUGAAAAGUUUUCCCAAAAUGUUAACUGUAUGUAGAAAAAAUGCCUUGAAUGUAUGCUGCUGUGUCAGCCUGCUCUUUGUAAACCCAUAAAGAAGUUACAAAAACUAUCAGAGAUUAGAGGAAACUGGUGAAGUAGGGUACACAAGUAUCACUAUAUAGUUUUUUUGAAUGUUGGUAUUUCAAAGUCCAGCAAAUGAUUUACUGUCCUGUUUCCAUAAAGAUGGAUGGUCUUCUGCUAUGGACUUCAAUAAAGAUUUCAUCCCAGGAAGCCAAACUGCAGCACACUGAAUCAGUGAAAAGGAUAAGUGUAUAGCAGAAGUUAAAAUAUUGAAAAUAAUUUUGAAGAAAAUGUUACCAUUGCUUCAGCAGGACACUGUAGUAAUACAAAUCAUGAAGGUAUAAUACCUGCUUUUCUUGGUGUAACUGAGAUGUUCUUUCCUUUCACACAGCUGGCAUGGGCAUAGUUCACUGCUAUCCAAAUAGAAGCAGAACGGUUCAUGAAGAGAUCUUUUCGUUCUAUUGUGAUGGAAGGUGAUGAUGUAUUUCUUUGAAAAAGUUUUGUGAUUCUCUCCCUUCAGAGAAGAGGAACCGGAAUGAAAGCCAAGCUUUUUACUGGUUUAUCAUACACUUUCUUUUUUCCCCAUAAGUAUCAUUGUAACAACUCAUAGCUUUCCAGGUACUCAUAAACAAAGUCAUCAUUUUGAAAACUUGAAGGAGGGAAGGUGGAGGUUUCAGCUUGCUCAAAGUUUAAUGCAUCUGUGGAAGAGAUGGACCAGGAUAAAUUAUGCCAUCUUCAGUGAUAAGCUCAAAAUUGCAGCAAUGGUUAGAAGAGACCACCAUCUUUUCUUCUUCUGUUCAGUUAUUGGUAAAAAGCAAUAUACAGUCAAUAUGUGGACUCCAGUGCUCAUCUGGAUAUGAGAAAUACAUAAAAGACAGACAUUAAAGGUAACAGAAAGUAUCACUGCAAGACAAGGAGAGACUGCAGGCCAUUGAAAAUGCAUCAUCAUAGUUUGUUAGUUACAAAACUGGACUAUUGGCAAGGCAAGAGCUAGGAGAGGUAGGGGCUGGAGGAACAAGGGAGCUUGCCUGAUUGCUGGGGAAAGCAGUCUCUGACAAAGAGUGUCUGAUCAUCUGAGCACCGCCUCACCCAGCGCUGGAGCUUAUCCUCCAAUGGGAGUAAAACAGAUUGGCUCUGAAUGGAGGGAAGCUGAGAUGGUUUUCAAAAGCAGUAUUUCUUUGCUUCUGAAAGAGGGAAGCUAUGGCCUCGUUUGUUUGACCCCACUUGCCGUGGGCAUCACUUCAGCCUUAAGAGAGGCUGGAAAACUAAGUCCAUGCUCAGCCAUUAAUUCAGCUUUCUAAAAGUGAAACAAAGUGAAGAAGCUUUCUCUUAUAGGAGGAAACAGCACUGCAACAGAUAGCAACAUUUUUUUUUCAUUUGUCCCUUCUGCCUUGGGUUCUGAAGUGAAGUGAGGAAGCUUCUGAGUCAUCACCUCCACUCCUAUUGAAGUUGUUUACUUUCCUGUUUGUAAAUUUGUCAGGCUCCAACUUAAAACUGAUUGUUUCUUAUUCACAUUACUCCUUACAGAAAGCUAUUCCAGAACUGUGUGCCUCUGAGACAUAGAUGGAAAAAAGAACUGAAUUUCCAGUUUUCCAUUUUUUAAUGGUUUAGAGGAAGAAUUAUAAAGAAAUAUAACAAUUCACUUUUCUUUCUUUCCAAUAUUCAUUACAAGGGAAUUUGAUCUUGGAAGACACUGCUAUGUUUAUGUCUUUUGAGUGAUUGUGACAGUAGCCCUCCAUACCAUGUUUAAUGACAACUCAGAGCCUUGCAAGACACAACAAAGACAUCUUGUAACUUAAAAGGGAUUUUGACACAAACAUUUCAUUGCAUACCUCAAUAAAGAGGGUCUGGAUUUAAUUUUAUUAUACUACAUUGCAAGUGACAUCACAAAGGCAUAACACAAGAAGCUUCGACAACCCAAAACUUUAUGAGAUGGACUAGUCUUUAAAAAUGUCUCUUUUUAAUCAGUAACAUGGGCAGCUAGUGAAAUGAAAAAUCUGACUUAUAUCUAACAUUUCAUACUGGCUCUUGAUGACUCUGUUCGCUGUUUUCCUCAGUUCCUCCUGAUGUUUCUUGAGUGGUUACCAAAAUACCUAGAAUUUUCCACUGAGUAGGCAACUAUUGGUUUUCAAACCAAGCAUGAUUCAAACAGUGUCCAUGGUUCUGUGUAAGGCAUGAUGAAUGGAAUGGAGUAUCAUCAUCUGGGUCCAAGCCAUGCUAUGAGAGCCACACAUGUUGUUGUACAGCUGGGGCUACUGCUCUCAAGCUAAAGUUGGAAUCAGCAUGUCUCUCUGAGUCCUUCUGCAGUGAUCUCCACUUGGGCAGAUAGAUAGCAGAAAAGCUUGUCCUUCUGCCUCCCCAGUUCAUAAAUUUUCCAAAUAAAACAUGAAUGUAA